GACGAACGCUGGCGGCGUGCCUAAUACAUGCAAGUAGAACGCACAGUUUAUACCGUAGCUUGCUACACCAUAAACUGUGAGUUGUGAACGGGUGAGUAACGCGUAGGUAACCUGCCUGGUAGCGGGGGAUAACCAUUGGUAACGAUAGCUAAUACCGCAUAAUAUUGAUUAUUGCAUGAUAAUUGAUUGAAAGAUGCUAUUGCAUCACUACCAGAUGGACCUGCGUUGUAUUAGCUAGUAGGUGAGGUAACGGCUCACCUAGGCGACGAUACAUAGCCGACCUGGGGGGGUGAUCGGCCACACUGGGACUGAGACACGGCCCAGGCUCCUUCGGGAGGCAGCAGUAGGGGAUCUUCGGCAAUGGACGAAAGUCUGACCGAGCAACGCCGCGGGAGUGAAGAAGGUUUUCGGAUCGUAAAGCUCUGUUGUAAGAGAAGAACGGGUGUGAGAGUGGAAAGUUCACGCUGUGACGGUAUCUUACCAGAAAGGGACGGCUAACUACGUG
rnacentral:rRNA from 1 species